GGGUUGUGAGGUUAAGCGACUAAGCGUACACGGUGGAUGCCCUGGCAGUCAGAGGCGAUGAAGGACGUGCUAAUCUGCGAUAAGCGUCGGUGAGGUGAUAUGAACCGUUAUAACCGGCGAUUUCCGAAUGGGGAAACCCAGUGUGUUUCGACACACUAUCAUUAACUGAAUCCAUAGGUUAAUGAGGCGAACCGGGGGAACUGAAACAUCUAAGUACCCCGAGGAAAAGAAAUCAACCGAGAUUCCCCCAGUAGCGGCGAGCGAACGGGGAGGAGCCCAGAGCCUGAAUCAGUGCGUGUGUUAGUGGAAGCGUCUGGAAAGGCGUGCGAUACAGGGUGACAGCCYCGUACNACAAAAAUGCACAUAUUGUGMGCUCGAUGAGUAGGGCGGGAMACGUGGUAUCCUGUCWGAAUAUGGGSGGMCCAUCCUCYAAGGCUAAAUCCYCCUGMCUGACCGAUAGUGAWCCAGUACCGUGAGGGAAAGGCGAAAAGAACCCCGGCGAGGGGAGUGAAAAAGAA
rnacentral:rRNA from 1 species